rnacentral:lncRNA from 1 species
AAGCUUUCCCGGCAGAGCCAAAGAGACGGAUCUUAUCGACGAUCACAGCUUUCAUGGCUGCUUUUGUUGCCGACAUGACAUCGACAAGGUCUGUCUUUUUCCCCGAGCUAAGAGCUUCCAUGUAAGCCUUUCUUAUUUCUGUGUUCACGUUGAACUUCCUCACUCCAUUCUCAAUGCAUUCCUGAUCUCAUUCAUAGUCCAUAAAGACGUUAAUUCUGUUAUAUUCAUAUCAUAAUCUCCAUCAACAGAGAAACUUUUGGCGCCGAUUUAUUUAUUUAUUUUAACUACCAAACAAGAAACUUUCAAGCAUGGUAGACUCACACCUACCUUGAUAAGCUUCUCAGGCAAACCGGAAGCUCCAUGAAGAACAAGAAAAAUAUCUUUCUUCGAGCUUAAGGCGUGCAGUUCCUAUAUACAUGGCGCUCAGUUAGAAUAAGAAUAAUACAAACUCCAGACAUCAUAGAACUUCUUCACUCAGCAAAAGAAUAUAAGGAACCUUAAGUAAGUCAAGCUUGAGGUUUGGACCAGACUCAGGGUAUUUUCCAUGGACAUUUCCUAUACACACAGCCAAAGCAUCUAUACCAGUUUCCAUAAAUUCCUGAGCCUGAAAAACUCAAAAAGUAUUUGUAGUUUGGUUUAGCAGGCAUAAUAUUGUUAGGUGGGAUAUUCGAUUUAUCGGCGCUUAAAAACAACAAGGACCUGGUGA